rfam:Trichobilharzia regenti genome assembly, scaffold: TRE_scaffold0020340
AUCCAGCUGAUGAGUCUCAAACAGGACGAGACGCGCAUCCUAGAU